rnacentral:rRNA from 1 species
AGCAGCCGCGGUAAUUCCAGCUCCAAUAGCGUAUAUUAAAGUUGUUGCAGUUAAAAAGCUCGUAGUUGAACUUCGGGGUUUACCCAUUGGUCAGGCUUAAUUGUCUGUACUGGUGAGAUAAAUCUCUACCUUCUGAGGAACUUUCAUGCCAUUUAUUUGGUGUGAUUGGAAAUCAGGACUAUUACUUUGAAAAAAUUAGAGUGUUUAAAGCAGGCUAACGUCUGAAUAUAUUAGCAUGGAAUAAUGAAAUAGGACGGCUUGGUUCUAUUUCGUUGGUUUCUAGGAUCACCGUAAUGAUUAAUAGGGAUAGUUGGGGGCAUUAGUAUUCAAUUGUCAGAGGUGAAAUUCUUGGAUUUAUUGAAGACUAACUACUGCGAAAGCAUUUGCCAAGGAUGUUUUCAUUAAUCAAGAACGAAAGUUAGGGGAUCGAAGACGAUCAGAUACCGUCGUAGUCUUAACCAUAAACUAUGCCGACUAGGGAUCGGACGAAGUUAAUUUUAUAAUGACGCGUUCGGCACCU